CAGGAUGAACGCUGGCGGCGUGCCUAAUACAUGCAAGUCGAGCGAACAGAUAAGGAGCUUGCUCCUUUGACGUUAGCGGCGGACGGGUGAGUAACACGUGGAUAACCUACCUAUAAGACUGGGAUAACUUCGGGAAACCGGAGCUAAUACCGGAUAACAUAUUGAACCGCAUGGUUCAAUAGUGAAAGGCGGCUUUGCUGUCACUUAUAGAUGGAUCCGCGCCGUAUUAGCUAGUUGGUAAGGUAACGGCUUACCAAGGCAACGAUACGUAGCCGACCUGAGAGGGUGAUCGGCCACACUGGAACUGAGACACGGUCCAGACUCCUACGGGAGGCAGCAGUAGGGAAUCUUCCGCAAUGGGCGAAAGCCUGACGGAGCAACGCCGCGUGAGUGAUGAAGGUCUUCGGAUCGUAAAACUCUGUUAUCAGGGAAGAACAAAUGUGUAAGUAACUGUGCACAUCUUGACGGUACCUGAUCAGAAAGCCACGGCUAACUACGUGCCA
rnacentral:rRNA from 1 species